rnacentral:tRNA from 1 species
UAUAUUUUAGUGUUUUAGCACUUAAAAUUUUGAAUUUUAAAGAAUUAAAAUAAUUAAUAAAUAUAA